AUGGCCAAGGAGAAGACGGCGGCACUGGAGCGUGCAAAGAAGGCGUCGGCGUCGGAGAAGGCAAAGGGGAGAUCCACCAGCCGCGGAGGGUCCUCGUCCAGAUCCCGCCUGCCGAAGGGCUGGGUCCAAGGAGACUGGAUCCAGUCGACCAUCACAGAGAAUGACCUCCUCGACAUGGCCAAUGAGGGCUUGAUCCCUCACGGAGCUGCGAGGCUUCCGGGGAAGGAGUGGCAGCCCCAGCCAGAAGAGGGUGAGUGUGUGCUUUUGGCCACCCAUGUUGAUCGUGGGUUUUCCUUGCCGCCGAGUGUUUUCUUCCGUGGCUUCUUGAAUUUCUUCGGAGCGCAGCUCCACCACUUUACCCCAAACUCCAUUGCAUAUCUUGCUGCGUUCGUGUCCAUGUGUGAGGGUUUCUUGGGCUGUCGACCGCACUGGGGUUUGUUCAAACAUAUAUUCACGUGUCGCUCUCAGACCGUGAAGAAGGCGAGCCCAGGUGAUGAGAGAACUCGAGUCGUCCAAAUGUGUGGGGGUCUGGGGAUCCAGGUGAGGAAUAAGAGCACCUUCCCGCCCAUGACUUUUCCCGAGUCAGUCAGAGGUUGGCAGUCGACCUGGUUCUACUGCCGGGACCAGUCGACGCCAGGGCAGUCGAGUGGACUCCCACAGUUUACCAUGGACCGAGUGAACAAGCCCUCCUCUCUGAAGUUGAUUCCGGAGGAGAAAGCUGAUGUGAAGAUGUUGAUGGAGCGCGUGGUGCAGUUGGUUCGGGAGGGAGUGACGGGCAUGGACCUCUUGGAGGUCUUCCUCAGGCGUCGCAUCCAGCCUCUUCAGUUCCGGAGCCACUGCAUGUGGUUGUACUGUGGGACCGAAGACGAGACUCGAGUCCAUCCAGAAGCAGUCGACGAUGUCACUCUGGAAAGAUGGAUGGUAGCCGUUACCGGAAACAAGGACAACCCACGCGGAGCCAGAAGGAUUCCUCCACUCGACCACAACAGCGAUCCAAACAAGGUACAUUUGCUCUGCCCUCCACUACAUUCUUGUCGCAUUCAUUUCUGUUUAUCCUGCCGACUGGUCGACUGA
rnacentral:rRNA from 1 species